AAUUAAAAAUAAUUUUAAAUUUUUUAGAAUAAAUUGAAUAUAAAAAUAAAGUUAUAGAAAAUUUAAUUGAGUUUAAGUAUAAGUUAGAAAAAAUUUUAAUAUAAGUAUUAAAUUGUAAAAGAAUUUUAAAAUAAAAAAAAGAAAAUUUUAUUUAUUGUACCUUUUGUAUCAGGGUUUAUUAAAAUUUUAAGUUUGAAUUAAUAAAUCUCGAAUUAAAAAGAGUUAAUUUAAUAUAAUAGUUAAUGUUGAAAAAUUAUUAUAAAUUUUAAAUUAGAAAUGAAAUGUUAAACGAUUUUUAAGAUAUCUAGUUUUUUAAUAGAAAAAUUUAAUUUUUUUUAUAAAUUUAAUUAUUAAUUAUUUAAAAUUAAUAAUUGUUUUGUAAGGAAAGAUUUAUGGGAUUAGCUAUAAAUUUAAGUUAAAUAAAGGAUUUAAAAUUUUAAAAUUUAGAGAUUAAAAUUUUCAAAAUUUUAGAGUUUGUAAUAAUUAAUUAAUUAAUCUAAUUUAAUUUAUAAAGAUUAUUAAUUUUAUAUUAAAAUACAAAUUGGGAAUUUUUUUUAAGUUAAAAUAAUGAUAAUAUUAGUAUAUAAAGAUGUUAAAUUUAUUUAAAUUAUUAAAUUAAUUUAAGGAAUUAGGCAAAAUUUAAAGUUCACUUGUUUAACAAAAACAUGUUUUUUUGAAAUUAAUAAAAAAUUUUCUCUGCCCAAUGAAAAUUUUAAUGGCCGCAGUAUUUUGACUGUGCAAAGGUAGCAUAAUAAAUAGUUUUUUAAUUGAAGACUAGAAUGAAUGAGAGGAUGAAAUUUUAACUGUCUCAUUUUAAUAAUAAAAAUUUAUUUUAAGUUAAAAUUCUUAAAUAAAUUUAAGGGACGAGAAGACCCUAUAGAAUUUUAAAAUUUUAAUUAUUUUAUUUUUAUAGUAUUAAAGUAAAGAUAAUUUAAAAUUUUUUUAUUGGGAUGAUAUUUAAAUUUAAUUAACUUUGAAUUUUUUGAUUCGCUAAUUAAUGAAUUAAAGUGUUUUAUAUUUAAAAUAAGAAUAAAUUACCUUAGGGAUAACAGCGUAAUAAAUCUUUAAAGUUCAAAUUAAUAGAUUUGAUUGCGACCUCGAUGUUGAAUUAAAAUAAAAUUUAGGUGAAGAAGCUUAAAAUUUAAGUCUGUUCGACUUUUAAAAUUUUACAUGAUUUG
rnacentral:rRNA from 1 species